UACGGAGGAUCCGAGCGUUAUCCGGAUUUAUUGGGUUUAAAGGGUGCGCAGGCGGGAGAUUAAGUCGGCGGUGAAAUUUUGCAGCUUAACUGUAACAGUGCCGUUGAUACUGGGGAGCUAGGAUUUGGUUGCUGUGGGUGGAAUGUGUGGUGUAGCGGUGAAAUGCUUAGAGAUCACACAGAAUAUCGAUUGCGAAGGCAGCUCACAAAGCCAAGAUUGACGCUGAGGCACGAAAGUGUGGGGACCAAACAGGAUUAGA
rnacentral:rRNA from 1 species